AAUGACCGAACCAUUAAUCAUGCUUAUGGCCGAUUAUCAUAUUAACACGAGACACACAAACAUCAUUAUCCAAGUAUGCUAAUAUAUCACACCAUCAACUAAAUCAUACAUAUAGAAACAUAAAAUUCAUUUGACCUAUUAUACUUUCAUGUGCACAUUUUUAACCAUAUAGCCAACACCUUAAUAAACAAUUUAAAUACAUAUCACCUACCAAUUCACAUCUCUAAAAUCCUCGAUACAAUCAUUUUUUUUAUCAUAGCUGAAUGUCACAAAACAAGGCAUCCAAAAUCUCAAAUCACUUUAUAUAAUCC
rnacentral:lncRNA from 1 species